CCGGCACGCAAACCGCGGCGGAGCUGGUCGGGAGAGGCCCGACGGGGAUGACGAGUUGCCACCAGUGCCGCAAGGUUGGGGCCGUCCUUUGGUGUUCCAGCUGCGACAGGAGAGGCUACUGCGCCGGCUGCAUCUCGAGAUGUAGCAUAACCUCUGGGUUGGCCUCUUAAAGGCAAAAUUUGGCGUCAGUUCAUUCCAAAUCGUUAGAUGCGAAAGCAACAACACACAACUUCAGAUGGUCUUCUGGUGCAAAACUGCAAGCAAGCGAAGACGGUCGUGGCCAAUGGAUCAGGAUCAGCGGCGGCGGCAGGUUGGUUUCGGUUCGCUCUCCGGUUGGAUAGAGGUAGCGUGUUUGUCGUGUUUGCUCAAUUGUGGGGGGCGGGAUUGAAUUACGUGAAGGAUGGGCGGUGGACAAGAAGCUGAAGGUGAAUCCGGCAUGGACGCCUGUUGCUCGCCGGUCGAUGGUCACAUGAGAAUGCUGCCAAACCAUUGAAACAAGCGCAGCCAGGGGAAACAGACGAUGAUGUGCGCUCCACCACAUUAAGUACGAAUACUCCCCAUGUAGCAGCUCGCAAGAGUGCUGCUACUGGCUUUAAUUUCAGAUUGGAAUAGCGUGCUGAGAAGCGAAAGGAGGCUGUAAUAUGGAGGACCUGGUGCUGUAGUGCGAAAGUAUCAGUUUUUGUUAAAAUUUGACAGCAUCGCUCUCAAGUCAGUACAUACAUAACAGUUGUAACAUGUAAGUAUACUGCUUUGAUUUGCUUAUGUUUCUGAACUUUGAAUUUAAUUCUUUGUCAAAUUCAAUUUCAGCUAAUCUUUUGUUCUGAGCUUAGUUGCCCAAUUUCCUAAUAUUGCCAUGCUGAUCUUAGUUGUCCAAGCUUGCGGGAACUUUUUUUUGCUUCUCUUCCAUAUAAAAAUUGUGUUUCCAGUGCUUGUACUUCUGAAUACAUCAACUCUAUCUGCGAUCUCUGCACCUCUGCUCUCAGCCGGUAUUCUACUGAAGGAGAACCAUGCUGCUGAAUUUGACUACAAGCAGGUUCAUAAAAAGUUCUACAAGCGAUUUAUUCUAAGGGGGCAACACUGAAAUGUCCAUGGUCAGCUUGGGAUUCUGAGGUGUGCACACUUACUAGAUCAUCAAAAAUAAAAAGGACUAAAAGAUAGAAAUUACAAGCUGUUAAAUGUUAAGUCUUUAUGGGGAGGUUUUGUUUCAUAGGAAUCAAUUUUGUCCAUAUGUUUGCCAUCUGGUAUUAUUCUGAUUAUGUAGCAAAACUACCGGGCAACAAGACAUGCAAGUAACUAACGCUUGUUUUAUGUAUACGAACAUGAAAUUUUGUGCUAUAUGCUUAUGGACAGGCCAAUAUUAAUUCAUUUUUUGAUGGAAAAGCUUGAUAAUAUGGCUUGCCAAUUCAUUCAAAUAUUCUCUAUGAGUUAUCUAUUGUUACUUUAACGUAAAUGUGCUAUACGAUUAUUUUGGAAGUUCGUUAUUACCUUCUACUAUCUAUUAUGGUGAUAGCCUUGUUGCUAAAGGAACUUACAGAAUAUUGCCUUGUUGGUCUCAUCUAAGCAAUUGGUUUAGCUGGUUAACUACUUGGCAUACCAAAGCACCCUGAAGCAUGAAGGAUUAUUCUUUCCGCAUCAUACUUCUAUGGGGAUUGAAGCCAAGUGCUGUGCUCUGAAGGAUUGUUUCACUGUCAGGGCCCAAAGGGAGCGAAUACUAAUGAACCUGGCGCAAGCAGUUUGCACUGUCAAUCCGGCAGCUAAUGGAGGCACUACCGGUUCACCAUACUUCUGGUUCAGGGAGAGAACUCUAUUCUUGGCAAUCUUGAUCUAUGGCUGACAAUGUGCUAAGCCAAUGCUUAGCCAACUACAGCAAACCAAUAUCAGUUGCUCAGCAUGAGAUAGGUUUGUUGUAUAUAAUUGCGAUUUGAAGGUUGCCAACUAAACAGGGCAUCCGAACAGGGUAUUGCAUUCAACUAAUUUCCUUGGUGGAUUGGUGAUCUUGGUGACAUGUUUUCUCUUCUCUAUGGUUUGUGUUACUGUUGUUCAGCAUUUUUUUAUUUGGCGAUGGAACAAGAUUGAGAGGAAUAACAUACACAUCCACCCCGGCUAAGGGUGUUGAUGAUUUUAUUUGGCAAAAUAGGCAAAAUCGUCCCCGAACUCCUGGUAAAGGGUCAAGUUCAUCCCCGUACUUUUCCGCAGGCUAAUUUAGUCCUCGAACUAUAGUUCUUCGCUUCAGUUAGAUCCUUCAGAGGAGUUGGACGUCCACGCCGUCCGCGAACGCAUGACGCACAAUACCAAAAGAUCUGUUUGCCUUAUUCUAUCGAACUGGCGUGUGCCCUGCUCGUCGGGCUCUGGUGCGCGUACCCGGACCGCAGCCUGCGCCCCACCAUCAGGCAGGCCGUCAGCGUGCUCCGGUUCGAGGCGCAGUCAUCAGCUGAGUCCAGUCUGAUGAAAUGGCAGGCGAACAAUACAUCGAUAUAGUGCUGGUAGCUCCCGCUCAGGGCCGCAGCCCUUGACUCAAUGUAUCAUGUUCAAAGUCGCGGAUAAUAAAACAAAUGUCUCAUGUUCAAACAAAAGCCAUUACAAAUUGAAAGUCACUACAUGAUCUUCUCAGAUAAUACAGGAUGCUAUCCUGAUUUUUUCUGUCCUCCUCGUGCAGCUGAAGUAGAUUUAAUCUUUGCAAUUGCACGGCCGCCUGUAACAUUGAUGGUUGCUUUUGCAGAUGAGGUGGGAUGGCCUGCACUUGUCUCAAUGACAACAGAGGCAUUACCAACAGCAGAGGCUUUAGCUUUAGAGUUGGACAUCCCAAAGGACACCAAUCUACUCUUUUUACCAGUCUGCAAAACAAUUGAAGUUAGAUCAAUUUAAUGGAAUAAGGCAUAGAGAUUGAUCACAGUUACCAUUUACUAACCUGAAUAAAUGAUGUACCAGUUCGUUCACUAUAAUACAAUCCAUAGCCCUCAAUUGCCUUUCUCUUAGUUGACUUUGUGCUCGAAGAUGCAGCUGGGCCCUUUCCUUUAGAUGUUGCUGGUUCAAUGGCCAAUGGAGCAUUAUUAUUGUGAGAAGAAGAUGGUCCAUGAGAAUGGUCAGGAUUAUUGCCUGAUGUCGAGUUCUGCUGGUGCACAGUAAAGGGAAAUAGUUAGAAGCAUGUCACUCUUAUUGAGAAAAAGAAAACAUAAAUCUAAAAAAGAUGAAAUGUGUAGACACCAGUUCCACAGAGCAUGUCUUAGAGUUGUGUCCAGUGCCUUGGCAACGUCCGCAUCUAAUCUUAACUCCAACUCUGGAGGACUUAGUACUCAAGUUCACUCGUUCUGAAGGAUCCAUCCUCCUUUUUGUUUGUGGUCGACCUGGCAUCUUCUUCACUCUAGGAGGUAACGGUCUAGGAUUUGGAGAUACAGGCCAUGCAAACUCAUGCUCUACUGGUGGCAGGACAUGCUGGUAAGUUGUCUUGUAUUGGUCAAUGGAGAAACAUGCAUUUACAUAAUUGUUAGGCUCAUCUGACAUUGUGAACAGGGCAGCACAAGCAUGUCGACAUGGGAUACCUAACGCUUGCCAAUAUCUGCAGGAACAUGUCUUCUGUCCUAGAUCAACUGUGAACCUCCAUUUUUUGUCCCUCACUUCAAAACCAGAAGCACCAUUCCAUAAGACAUGACAAUACUGAGUUGCAUGCCUUAUCUUAUUUACCUUCCUGAGAAUGUUGGGGCAUAUAGCCAUUGUCCAUCUCUCACCAUUACUCCAGUUCUCUUGAAUCCUUCUAGUCACCAUGAUACGUAUGUCCUCCAACAUGGCUAUGAUAGGUUUAAAUCUUGCGUCUAUAAUCCAGCUGUUGAAAGAUUCACUGACAUUGUUAUCAACUGACUCACAAUUGGACCCAACCUUGAACCAAGCCCGGCACCAAUGUACUUGAUCUUGUUUUUGCAAAUCAUUCCAUCCUUUAGGUGUUUUUGCUGCCAACUUAUUCUUGUAAUGAUUGGACAUCAUCUCAUUACAUGGCUUUGCAAUCUUCCAAAAUCUCUUUUGAUACUCCUGUAACCUAUGCUUUUUUCUCCAGUUUGCAUAAAUGUGCCAUGCGAACAUUCGAUGCCCAGCCAUUGGAAAGUACUGGUCAAUUGCCUUCAGCAAACCCUUCUGUUUGUCUUUAAGGAACACCCAUCCAUCAGCACCAUAUGGGAUAUUCAAAUCUUUAAGGUGGCCAAGACACCCAUCCAUCGGCUUACCUCCUGCAGGCAGUUCCUGCCCUCCUCGUCCUCUCUUCACAAGGCUGUGGAUCCUUGUCUACAACCUGGUUGCACGCUUCCAAAUCAUAGUCGUCCUGCUAUUUGAAUCACUUGCGGCCAGCUUCGCCUUCUCCCCCUCAGUGUCGAGGAUGGAGGGCCGGCGGGCCGAGAAGAGUGGCUUCUGGCCGUCGGCGCUGGCUCUAGGAACCCCUCCCAGCUCACAGUGGCGGCGGCAGCCUUAGCGGAUAAGAUGGAGGGCUGCAGCCCUGUGGGAGGGGUUAUCGAUAGAACAAGGGCAAACAAGUCUUUUGGUAUUGUGCGUCACGCGUUCGCUAACGGCGUGGACGUCCAACUCCUCUGAAGGACGUAACUGAAGCGAAGAACUAUAGUUUGAGGACUAAAUUGGCCCGCGGAAAAGUACGGGGACGAACUUGACCCUUUGCCAAGAGUUCGGGGAUGAUUUUGCCUAUUUUGCCAUUUUAUUUCUUUCUUUUAGUUGAUGUCACGUGAUCCUGAUAGAGACCAGGCUGGAUUCAUUCUUGAUUGUACUGUCUAGCUGAUGAUGGAGUCAAGAUAGAUGCCAAACAAGAUAAUUCUUGCAAAUUCUGCUUCAGCGAUGGUGGAAUGGAUCAAAGAAAACAGUCAGCAGUGUUCAAUGCUCUCAGGUGUCUGUUGCGGAGCGCGGACAAUGGCAAAGAUGGCGGCCAUGGUGCAGAUCCAGGAUGCUUGGUGGAUGCGGGAGCUUGCGGUGGAUCCAUAGCUUCGUCGCUGGUGUGUGUGUUGUACGAAUCCCUCCACGACUGAGCUCCUUCCAUAUCCAACCAUGGUGCUUUUGAGUCAGGAUGUUAGGUUGGAACGGGCUAAUGAUUAUUCUCACAGGUGAGAUGAUAUUCACCGAGUUAGAACAACAAUUUAUGUUUCAAAAAGUCCUCCAGUGAACCUCCGAGUAAUUGACAGCGUAGAUUCAUGACCAAGAACACCAUUGUCCUGCUUGGAAUGCCCUUUUCCUGCAAGAGAUUUUUUUGCUCUGGUAUUGGAUUGUUCACUAAUUUAUUAUAUCGUUUGAUAUUAUAUCAUGGUUGGCUGUAGGUUGUAGUGUUUCAAUUUUUUGGGCCUUUACAAUGAACAAUCCCCGAGAGAAUCGGGUGCAAAGCUAAGCAGUUCAGGCUCUUGUGCUAAACCUGUACAAGCGCAUUAGGCAGUCAGCAAGAAACGUUUGAACGGUGAGGGAUGGAUAAUCACAUCAGAGUUGGAUUAGAGAUGUCAACGAAGCUCUCUCAAUGCAAUCCAUGUAUGAACUUGCCCAGCUCUGGUGUGUGCUUGACCCUGCAUAUCAACUAUUUUUCCAUAGUAUUCUGAUUAAGCACCUGCAUAAACAUGAGAAUUUUCCUACUGUUUGUUUUCUUUCAGCAAAGAUCUAGAGAAUUCUCUUAUACCCUAACCUGCUCCAUAAACUGUAGGUUUUUGAACUUUGUUUGCUCUCAAUCAAGGUGUUUUGAGUAUAUCUUUGUCUUAUAUUUUUGUGUAGUCUCUAUUAGAAAACUUGUUAGUGAUCUCUGUCUACUACUGCAAUUUAAAUAUCAACCUCUAGGCUGACAAGUGCUUAUUACUGUUGGAGCUUGUCGCAGAGAUUGGAUAUAUUUGGAAGGAUUUCACUCCUUUUCUUUCUUUUUUUGCCAUCAUCAUGUGGCUGCCUCUUGCUUUCUCUAAUCCGUGUCCAUGCUGUGGCAUUUCAUUUUCAUUACUACUUCUAGCAUCAUAUAAUGGAGCAUCCAAGCUUGAAAUGCAUUUGUAUCCUUGGCCAUCUCUAGUUACAUGUUGCAAAGUGGAUGCUAUUCUCAUAUUAUUCUCAUAUUGUUUAUCUUAUCCAUAUCCCUAUCCAAUUUUAUUUGCUCAAGAGUGAAGGCACAACAGCAAGCGGCAACUCCCUCCAUUGAUCUGCAACGAGAUUGAUUUACCUUGAAAUAACCUUCCUCUUUCGUGGUGCUUGAUAUCUAGCUAUUUUAUUAUUGUUAUUAGAAAUAGCUGAACUUAUGUAGCUUUCACACAAUAUUACUGCUAUAAUUGCAAUGCAGGAGCUUUUGGUUAUAGAUGAUUUGCUAUCAGCUCUUAUGGGUAUCGAUAGAUGAUAUAUUUCUAUUAAGAGAUCUCAUGGAAUGAAAGGUUAUAUUAUCUUCAAGAUUGAUUCUUCGAUGGACCUUGCUCUCUAGGAAUUAACUUGACGAAUCUUCCCUUUUGUGUGAGGACUAUAUGUUGGUAAACCAGUUUGUCGAGUCCAGAUCACAUUUCAAAAAUGGUCUAGGCAACCGUGCUCUGGGUGCAGCUCUAAGAGCAUUUCUACUGAUACAACCCCUAUCUGUAGAACAAAAAUUUGAAUAAUGCUUCUAUGCUCUUGUGACAGCUAUGUUGUGCGGAUGUUUCUACUCUUAUUAGGAGAAUGUCGAGUGGUUGCAAAUUAGACCCUCAAUUUACUCUUCUAUUUGAAAACGUGAUAGAAUCAGAAAGAACAUAAAAAUAAUUGUGUCAUGUUGCUAGAGUUCAGUUAUAUUCUAACAUGAAUUUUUUUCUUGAGUUGUAUAUAUUCUAGCUGAGAUAAUCUGUUGAUAAGACAUCGACCUUCUUAAGUCACUAUUAUUGUCAUCAAGGAUGUCUUUGUCAGUAUAGUUGUAUUGGUGCUCAUCAAUAAAAUUCAGGGAUGGUCUACGUCAGUAUAGCCAUAUUAGUGCUUAUCUGUAAAGUUUGCACUUUGUACAAAAGUCAUUUAGUGUUCUUUUCUCUUUCUUUAUAAAUGAAAACUAUGAUCAGGAUUAUUAGACAAUGGUUGCUUGUCAGGUAAGUUUUCUUUUGUUGCAUUUUCCUUUUAUCAAUGCUCUUAUGAUUAAAAGUCAUGUUUGCUCUUUAGCAGAUAAUAAUGAGUUCAUUCAAUGUACGGCUGACAUCACGCCAAUGUGGAGCAAUGGGAGGCAAGGAGGUUGUUUCUGACAACUAGCCAACGCGGAGCUAUGGCAAGCGAUUGGGGCAGUAGGAGGUAAAAAAUAGAGGUGGUCAUGGGAAGGCGAAAGUAGGGAGAGAGUGGAAAAGCGAGAGAGGAAAAGUGAUAGAGUUGCACGAUUUUAUACUUUUAUUAUAUUGUAUCACGUAUCUAACUAUUUGUUUGUGUACUUUGGGAUAUAAACAUGCAUGGUGCAUGAAUAUUUUUAUAUCAAAGAGUAUGUCUUUGUUGUUUG